GCUUCUAUAGCUCAGUCGGCAGAGCGCGUCCUUGGUAAGGACGAGGUCAUCGGUUCAAAUCCGAUUAGAAGCU
rnacentral:tRNA from 1 species